rnacentral:sRNA from 1 species
AGGUACCACCCGUACACCCCGGUUCCUCCGCGCCACCCACGCACCUGACGACCGCUCGCCACGUUUUGUUAGCC